GGAUGCGAUCAUAUCAGCACUAAAGCACCGGAUCCCAUCAGAACUCCGAAGUUAAGCGUGCUUCGGCGAGAGUAGUACUAGGAUGGGUGACCUCCUGGGAAGUCCUCGUGUUGCAUUCC
rnacentral:rRNA from 1 species